AUUGAACGCUGGCGGCAGGCCUAACACAUGCAAGUCGAGCGGAUGAAGGGAGCUUGCUCCUGGAUUCAGCGGCGGACGGGUGGGUAAUGCCUAGGAAUCUGCCUGGUAGUUGGGGAUAACGUCCGUAAACGGGCGCUAAUACCGCAUACGUCCUGAGUGAGAAAGUGGGGGUUCUUCGGUCCUCGCCGGACCUGCUGACCCUAGGCGGUAUUAGCUAGUUGGUGGGGUAAGGGCGUACCAAGGCGACGAUCCGUAACAGGUCUGAGAGGAUGAUCAGUCACACUGGAACUGAGACACGGUCCAGACUCCUACGGGAGGCAGCAGUGGGGAAUAUUGGGCAAUGGGCGAAAGCCUGAUCCAGCCAUGCCGCGUGUGUGAAGAAGGUCUUCGGAUUGUAAAGCACUUUAAGUUGGGAGGAAGGGCAGUAAGUUUAUCCCUUGCUGUCUUGACGUUACCAACAGAAUAAGCACCGGCUAACUUCGUG
rnacentral:rRNA from 1 species